GAUGAAGAACGCAGCGAAAUGCGAUAAGUAAUGUGAAUUGCAGAAUUCAGUGAAUCAUCGAAUCUUUGAACGCACAUUGCGCCCGCCAGUAUUCUGGCGGGCAUGCCUGUUCGAGCGUCAUUUCAACCCUCAGGCCCCCAGUGCCUGGUGUUGGGGAUCGGCCCAGCCUUCCUGUAAGGCCGCCGGCCCCGAAAUCUAGUGGCGGUCUCGCUGUAGUCCUCCUCUGCGUAGUAGCACAACCUCGCAGUUGGAACGCGGCGGUGGCCAUGCCGUUAAACACCCCACUUCUGAAAGUUGACCUCGGAUCAGGUAGGAAUACCCGUUGAACUUAAGCAUAUCAAUAAGCGGAGGA
rnacentral:misc_RNA from 1 species